UCUGGUGACAUUAAAGCCCUGCGUCAGACAGUAUCCUUCUGAAAUUUGUUUAUUGCUUCUUGUUCUGCCUUAUCCGGAACAUUAAUAACUUAUUAGCUGCAAGUUACAGGCAGCUUUCGUCAUCGAUGAUUGAUCAAACAUCAGUGUAUUGCCUGUCUGUUUGCUAUACACAUUCGUAGUGUUCUUCUUGUUUUGCAAGCACUUGGAAGUGAAUAACCUUCGGCCAUGUCUUGUUUUUUCGACUUAAGAACGAGAUCAAGCACUUGCAAGUACUGCUCAUGCUGUACAAAAUUUUACUAGAAGGGAACGCUGCAACUGAACUGCAUGUAUAUUAAGUGCCGAAGACAGAAAAAACCGACUACUCCACUUCAACUACUGUCGCUAUCUAUAUGUUCGCUUUUGUUUAUGAGAGUCUUCUGGAAAGACGCCAUUUUAAACUGGCUAUUGCCUUAUAAACGCAAACGACAACAAGACGCCUGUUAGUGUGAAACCUACUAGCUGGACAAACGGGAGAAUUAAUUCCUCAAUUUCAAAUUUAUUUAAAUAACAGGCUGAAUAUUUCGUGGACAUGCUGUACUAAUGUGGAAAAACGAAAAUUUUUACUUCGCGAGAGGUAUGCGACAAUACCUUUCAAGGCAUAAGAGCUGCUGGGAGAGGGCGGACCCGAGGACGGUUCAGCCCUGGGUUACAAAUAACUUAUGCGGGUCUACCAAGCUUAUAAGGACACUCUCAACUAAUGGGCUGAAGAGCUUUGUCUCCCCGAUUCGCUGUUGAUAUUUCUAAUAAAAACGAUCUGCUAUCAGUUCAAUCAC